UACGUAGGGGGCAAGCGUUGUCCGGAUUUAUUGGGCGUAAAGAGCGUGUAGGCGGCCUGAAAGGUCAGCUGUGAAAACUCGAGGCUCAACCUCGGGUCUGCAGUCGAUACGGGCGGACUUGAGUACUGCAGGGGAGACUGGAAUUCCUGGUGUAGCGGUGAAAUGCGCAGAUAUCAGGAGGAACACCGGUGGCGAAGGCGGGUCUCUGGGCAGUAACUGACGCUGAGGAGCGAAAGCGUGGGGGAGCGAACAGG
rnacentral:rRNA from 1 species